rnacentral:rRNA from 1 species
AUAGAGACUCAGAGCUGCAUAUCAAUAAGCGGAGGAAAAGAAACUAACAAGGAUUCCCUUAGUAACGGCGAGUGAAGCGGGAAGAGCUCAAAUUUGAAAUCUUCAAGGUUCUACCUUGACGAAUUGUAGUUUAUAGAAGUGUUUUCUGUUAGUAGGAGUGGCAAAAGUUCUUUGGAAUAGGACAUCAUAGAGGGCUGAGAAUCCCGUAUUUGGUCAUUCCUUCCUAGCGUUGUGAUACACUUUCAACGAGUCGGAUUGUUUGGGAAUGCAGUCCAAAAUGGGUGGUAAAUUUCAUCUAAAGCUAAAUAUUGGCGAGAGACCGAUAGCGAACAAGUACCGUGAGGGAAAGAUGAAAAGAACUUUGAAAAGAGAGUUAAACAGUACGUGAAAUUGUCAAAAGGGAAGCGUUUGACACCAGUGUUGUUUUUCCGAAAAUCAAUUACGAAUGUUUUAUUUUUGAGGAGUUAUGACUUCAUCGGCUUGCUUCUCUCUUUAUGAAACUUUCUUAAUGCACUUUUCGGUUAACAAGUCAACAUCAAUUUCUUUUGUUGUAAAAGGGUAUGAGGAAGGUGGCUUUCUUUUCGGAGAAAGUGUUUAUAGCCUUGUAACCUCUGCAAUCGGAGAGAUUGAGGUCUGCAGCGUAGAUCCUUCGGGGCUAGAUACGUUUGUGCUAAGUUAUAGCUUUUCAUAGACAACGUGUUGACUAUGUUAGUCUUGUAGCUUACUCGCUUAUGCUAUUUUACCUACGCUUAGGAUGUUGACGAGACUGUCGAUCUC